rnacentral:rRNA from 1 species
GGGUUGUGAGGUUAAGCGACUAAGCGUACACGGUGGAUGCCUAGGCAGUCAGAGGCGAUGAAGGGCGUGCUAAUCUGCGAUAAGCGUCGGUAAGCUGAUAUGAAGC